rnacentral:rRNA from 1 species
UACGAAGGGGGCUAGCGUUGCUCGGAAUCACUGGGCGUAAAGCGCACGUAGGCGGCUUUCUAAGUCAGGGGUGAAAUCCUGGAGCUCAACUCCAGAACUGCCUUUGAUACUGGAGAGCUUGAGUCCGGGAGAGGUGAGUGGAACUCCGAGUGUAGAGGUGAAAUUCGUAGAUAUUCGGAAGAACACCAAUGGCGAAGGCAGCUCGCUGGGACGGUACUGACGCUGAGACGCGAAAGCGUGGGGAGCAAACAGG